rnacentral:rRNA from 1 species
UACGUAGGUCCCGAGCGUUGUCCGGAUUUAUUGGGCGUAAAGCGAGCGCAGGUGGUUUAUUAAGUCUGGUGUAAAAGGCAGUGGCUCAACCAUUGUAUGCAUUGGAAACUGGUAGACUUGAGUGCAGGAGAGGAGAGUGGAAAUCCAUGUGUAGCGGUGAAAUGCGUAGAUAUAUGGAGGAACACCGGUGGCGAAAGCGGCUCUCUGGCCUGUAACUGACGCUGAGGCUCGAAAGCGUGGGGAGCAAACAGG